AAGGCUUUCGGAGGCCUAAAGCGCUCCCAAAACCCCACCAUGUUCGGCGGCCGAACUUAACUUUCGGCGGCCGAACCUGGCAAAGUCUCCUUGGUCUAUUUCAUUCAAAACUCAAUUUCCUUUUUGCUUAAAAACAUAAAAUACAUUAAAAACAUUUCAUAAAACAUGGUUUUACCCUUCUAGAGGUUUCCGACAUCCGAGAUUCCACCGGACGGUAGAAAUUCCGAUACCGGAGUCUAGCCGGGUAUUAC
rnacentral:lncRNA from 1 species